rnacentral:rRNA from 1 species
GAUGAACGCUGGCGGCGUGCCUAAUACAUGCAAGUCGAGCGAACAGACGAGGAGCUUGCUCCUCUGACGUUAGCGGCGGACGGGUGAGUAACACGUGGAUAACCUACCUAUAAGACUGGGAUAACUUCGGGAAACCGGAUCUAAUACCGGAUAAUAUAUUGAACCUCAUGGUUCAAUAGUGAAAGACGGUUUUGCUGUCACUUAUAGAUGGAUCCGCGCCGCAUUAGCUAGUUGGUAAGGUAACGGCUUACCAAGGCAACGAUGCGUAGCCGACCUGAGAGGGUGAACGGCCACACUGGAACUGAGACACGGUCCAGACUCCUACGGGAGGCAGCAGUAGGGACUCUUCCGCAAUGGGCGAAAGCCUGACGGAGCAACGCCGCGUGAGUGAUGAAGGUCUUCGGAUCGUAAAACUAUGUUAUUAGGGAAGAACAAAUGUGUAAGUAACUAUGCACGUAUUGACGGUACCUAAUCAGAAAGCCACGGCUAACUACGUG